GGGCGAGUGGCGGAACUGGUAGACGCGCUUGGCUUAGGACCAUGUGUCGCAAGACGUGGAGGUUCGAGUCCUCUCUCGCCCA
rnacentral:tRNA from 1 species